rnacentral:rRNA from 1 species
UACAGAGGUCCCAAGCGUUGUUCGGAUUUACUGGGCGUAAAGGGCGCGUAGGCGGCAAUUCAAGUCAGCUGUGAAAUCUCCGGGCUUAACUCGGAACGGUCAGCUGAUACUGCUUUGCUAGAGUGCGGAAGGGGCAAUCGGAAUUCUCGGUGUAGCGGUGAAAUGCGUAGAUAUCGAGAGGAACACCUGAGGUGAAGACGGGUUGCUGGGCCGACACUGACGCUGACAGCGCGAAAGCCAGGGGAGCAAACGGG